rnacentral:tRNA from 1 species
CGUAACUCAAUUGGAUAGAGUAUCGGACUUCUAAUCCGCCGGUUGAGGGUUCGAAUCCCUCCGAG